rnacentral:tRNA from 1 species
GCCGGAGUGGCGAAAUUGGUAUACGCACCAGACUCAAAAUCUGGCGUCCGUCAAGGACAUGUCGGUUCGAGUCCGACCUCCGGCACCA